AGUGAACGCUGGCGGUAGGCCUAACACAUGCAAGUCGAACGGCAGCACAGUAAGAGCUUGCUCUUACGGGUGGCGAGUGGCGGACGGGUGAGGAAUACAUCGGAAUCUACUUUCUCGUGGGGGAUAACGUAGGGAAACCUACGCUAAUACCGCAUACGACCUACGGGUGAAAGCAGGGGAUCUUCGGACCUUGCGCGAUUGAAUGAGCCGAUGUCGGAUUAGCUAGUUGGCGGGGUAAAGGCCCACCAAGGCGACGAUCCGUAGCUGGUCUGAGAGGAUGAUCAGCCACACUGGAACUGAGACACGGUCCAGACUCCUACGGGAGGCAGCAGUGGGGAAUAUUGGACAAUGGGCGCAAGCCUGAUCCAGCCAUACCGCGUGGGUGAAGAAGGCCUUCGGGUUGUAAAGCCCUUUUGUUGGGAAAGAAAAGCAGCAGGUUAAUACCCCGCUGUUCUGACGGUACCCAAAGAAUAAGCACCGGCUAACUUCGUG
rnacentral:rRNA from 1 species